CAACAGAUGCACGCUGGUGACUGACAUGUGAAAACAACUAUAUUUGCUUGGACGUGGUGUGCAAACAUUUACCAUAGCUGCCCCCUGAAAGAGGUAGCCUCUAACCAUCCUGGCUGGUGACAUGAAGUGACAAAGAAAUAUUCAGGAGGACAACACUUUUCAGGCUGUUUUCAGUUUAAUUCCUAAUCUUACUUUCAAGAGCAUUUGUACUGCAUUAUGCUAGCAUGCUGUCUUCUCAUCUUGAACUGGGACCUCCUGUUACAUAGUGCAAAGACACUGUGAAAAAAGACUGCCUUUGCCACAAUCAUGUCAAUAUAAUUUAACCUUCUGUAAAAGCCCUUUCCUUGUAAUUUUAUGAGCUUUAGUAUUGUUUUCUCUCUGAAGAAUGAUCAUCUCAGAGUGUUUAGAAUAGGUAAAUGACAUCAAUAUAUCAGCUAAUGUUUUGGGAGAAUGUUUGGUUGGAGAAGCUCUGUUGGGGGUGGAGGAUAUAAAAGAAUGAGUAUGUGUGUGAUUUUUAGAGAUGAGAACUGUUUGUAUACAAAUAUUGGAGUAAAUGCAAGUGAAUGUCUUAUGUACUCCAUCCUAGUCAUUUUAACUCAGAGAAAUUGACUGGAAAAUCAACUUUUGCAGUAAAUUGGGUUAGCAGACAAUAACAAUGCAGAUUUUAAAUGUGUUUCAUCAUUCUGAAUGUGUCUAGAUUACAGCAAUUCUAGUUUCAUUAUAAUUCUGCAUUUUCCCAUGCUGUGUAUUUUCUGGAUUCUGCAUUCAAAAAUAUAAUUGUCCUGUGAA